GAAACGACUGCUAAUACCGCAUAAGCCCACAGGUCGGCAUCGACCAGAGGGAAAAGGAGCAAUCCGCUUUGAGAUGGCCUCGCGUCCGAUUAGCUAGUUGGUGAGGUAACGGCCCACCAAGGCAACGAUCGGUAGCCGGACUGAGAGGUUGAACGGCCACAUUGGGACUGAGACACGGCCCAGACUCCUACGGGAGGCAGCAGUGGGGAAUAUUGCACAAUGGGGGAAACCCUGAUGCAGCGACGCCGCGUGGAGGAAGAAGGUCUUCGGAUUGUAAACUCCUGUUGUUGAGGAAGAUAAUGACGGUACUCAACAAGGAAGUGACGGCUAACUACGUGCCAGCAGCCGCGGUAAAACGUAGGUCACAAGCGUUGUCCGGAAUUACUGGGUGUAAAGGGAGCGCAGGCGGGAAGACAAGUUGGAAGUGAAAUCUAUGGGCUCAACCCAUAAACUGCUUUCAAAACUGUUUUUCUUGAGUAGUGCAGAGGUAGGCGGAAUUCCCGGUGUAGCGGUGGAAUGCGUAGAUAUCGGGAGGAACACCAGUGGCGAAGGCGGCCUACUGGGCACCAACUGACGCUGAGGCUCGAAAGUGUGGGUAGCAAACAGGAUUAGAUACCCUGGUAGUCCACACCGUAAACGAUGAUUACUAGGUGUUGGAGGAUUGACCCCUUCAGUGCC
rnacentral:rRNA from 1 species